rnacentral:rRNA from 1 species
UCGCGUCUACCUCGUAGCGCCCUACCCUGUAGGGCCUACCCGGCAGACCCGGGUAAGCCUGCCGGCGGCCCACGAAACUCUGUUUAAUAUUGAAUUCUGAACCUAUAACUAAAUAAGUUAAAACUUUCAACAACGGAUCUCUUGGUUCUGGCAUCGAUGAAGAACGCAGCGAAAUGCGAUAAGUAAUGUGAAUUGCAGAAUUCAGUGAAUCAUCGAAUCUUUGAACGCACAUUGCGCCCAUUAGUAUUCUAGUGGGCAUGCCUGUUCGAGCGUCAUUUCAACCCUUAAGCCUCUGUUGCUUAGUGUUGGGAGCCUACGGUAUAGUAGCUCCUUAAAGUUAGUGGCGGAGUCGGUUCACACUCUAGACGUAGUAGAUUCUAUCUCGCCUAUUAGUUGGACCGGUCCCUUGCCGUAAAACCCCCUAAUUUUUAAAGGUUGACCUCGGAUCAGGUAGGAAUACCCGCUGAACUUAAGCAUAUCAAUAAGCGGAGGAAAAGAAACCAACAGGGAUUGCCCUAGUAACGGCGAGUGAAGCGGCAACAGCUCAAAUUUGAAAUCUGGCCCUCGGGUCCGAGUUGUAAUUUGUAGAGGAUGCUUUUGGCGCGGUGCCUUCCGAGUUCCCUGGAACGGGACGCCUUAGAGGGUGAGAGCCCCGUACGGUUGGACACCAAGCCUCUGUAAAGCUCCUUCGACGAGUCGAGUAGUUUGGGAAUGCUGCUCUAAAUGGGAGGUAAAUUUCUUCUAAAGCUAAAUAUUGGCCAGAGACCGAUAGCGCACAAGUAGAGUGAUCGAAAGAUGAAAAGCACUUUGAAAAGAGGGUUAAAUAGCACGUGAAAUUGUUGAAAGGGAAGCGUUUGCGACCAGACCUUUUCCUAGCGGAUCAUCCGGUGUUCUCACCGGUGCACUUCGCUAGGUUUAGGCCAGCAUCGGUUUUCGUAGGGGGAUAAAAGCUCUGGGAACGUAGCUCCUCCGGG